rnacentral:rRNA from 1 species
AGAAGUGAGAAUGUUGGCAUAAGUAGCAUAAAUGGAGGUGAGAAUCCUCCACAUCGUAAACCCAAGGUUUCCAGGGCAACGCGAAUCGCCCCUGGGUUAGUCGGUCCUAAGGUGAGGCCGAAAGGCGUAAUCGAUGGACAGCAGGUUAAUAUUCCUGCACUUCUAUAGAUUUCCAAUGGAGAGACGCAUCCUUCAACUACUCGAGAUUCUCGGAAUGAAUCUUUGGGGGUCAAGGGGUGCCUGAUAGGCAAAUCCGUCAGGCAUUAGCCUCGUGAUCAUCGCAAGCUUAUCGAAAGAUAAGCAAGGGGUGGGACUGGGGUGCCAAGAAAAUCUUCUAGGGCUAAGUCUAUAGAAACCGUACCGCAAACCGACACAGGUGGGUGGGCAUGAGUGUGCUCAGAUGAACGAGAGAACCCGCGUUUAGGAACUCGGCAAUACAGCGACCGUAACUUAGGGAUAAGGUCUCCCCACCGCAAGGUGGGGCGCAGCUAAAGACGCAAACCGACUGUUUACCAAAAACACAGCUUCCUGCUAAAUCGCAAGAUGAAGUAUAGGAAGUGAUGCCUGGCCAGUGUCAGAACGUUAAAGGGAGAGGUCAUGAUCGCAAGAUCGGCAGCCUUGAGCUGAAGCGCUGAUGAACGCCGGCGAUAACUAUAAUCGUCCUAAGGUAGCGAAAUUCCUUGACGGGUGAGUUCCGUCCCGCACGAAUGGCAUAACGAGUUUGCGACUGUCUCAACGUGGGACUCGGCGAAAUUGCAAGUGGGGUGAAGAUGCCCUGUAUGCGCAGUCAGACGAAAAGACCCCGUGAAGCUUUACUACAAUUUGAUAUUGGGUAAUGGCUUGGCAUGUUCAGUGUAGGUGGGAGCGUAAGCACCAAUGAGACACCACCCUUGCCUCGACAUUAUUCUCAUCACGAACCAUGAAUCUGGUUUGUGAAACAGUAUCUGAUGGGUAGUUUAACUGGGGCGGUUGCCUCCCAAAAUGUAACGGAGGCGUUCACAAAGGUUAGCUAGGCGCGGAUGGAAAUCGCGCUGAUCCUGCAAUAGGACAAGCUAGCUUAACUGCAAGGCCAACAAGCCGAGCAGAUACGAAAGUAGGAUAUAGUGAUCCGACCGUACGAUAUCGGACGGCGGAAGCUCAACGGAUAAAAGCUACUCCGGGGAUAACAGGCUGAUCAGGUCCAAGAGUCCACAUCGACGACCUGGUUUGGCACCUCGAUGUCGGCUCAUCGCAUCCUGGGGCUGGAGAAGGUCCCAAGGGUUAGGCUGUUCGCCUAUUAAAGCGGUACGCGAGCUGGGUUCAGAACGUCGUGAGACAGUUCGGUCUCCUGUCUACUGUGCGCGUGGAAUGUUGAGGGAGCUGGUCUCUAGUACGAGAGGACCGAGAUCAACGAACCUCUAGUGCGCCGGCUGUCCUACCAAGGGCACCGCCGGGUAGCUACGUUCGGCGCAGAUAAACGCUGAAAGCAUCUAAGCGUGAAACUGUUCCCAAGAUUAACAUUCAUUUAGGACCCUACGAGACUAGUAGGUUGAUAGGUUGCAUGUGUAAGGGUAGCAAUACCUUCAGCAGAGCAAUACUAAUCGUCCAAUGCUUCGACC